AACGCUAGCUACAGGCUUAACACAUGCAAGUCGAGGGGCAGCAUGAUUGAAGCUUGCUUCAAUUGAUGGCGACCGGCGCACGGGUGAGUAACACGUAUCCAACCUUCCGUACACUCAGGGAUAGCCUUUCGAAAGAAAGAUUAAUACCUGAUGGUAUCUUAAGCACACAUGUAAUUAAGAUUAAAGAUUUAUCGGUGUACGAUGGGGAUGCGUUCCAUUAGGUAGUAGGCGGGGUAACGGCCCACCUAGCCUACGAUGGAUAGGGGUUCUGAGAGGAAGGUCCCCCACAUUGGAACUGAGACACGGUCCAAACUCCUACGGGAGGCAGCAGUGAGGAAUAUUGGUCAAUGGACGAGAGUCUGAACCAGCCAAGUAGCGUGAAGGAUGAAGGUCCAACGGAUUGUAAACUUCUUUUAUAAGGGAAUAAAACCUCCCACGUGUGGGGGCUUGUAUGUACCUUAUGAAUAAGCAUCGGCUAACUCCGUGCCAGCAGCCGCGGUAAUACGGAGGAUGCGAGCGUUAUCCGGAUUUAUUGGGUUUAAAGGGAGCGCAGACGGGUCGUUAAGUCAGCUGUGAAAGUUUGGGGCUCAACCUUAAAAUUGCAGUUGAUACUGGCGUCCUUGAGUGCGGUUGAGGUGUGCGGAAUUCGUGGUGUAGCGGUGAAAUGCUUAGAUAUCACGAAGAACUCCGAUUG
rnacentral:rRNA from 1 species